AAGGGGGUCUCCCUCCAAAAGCCGAGCAUCUGCUGGGAUAAUAUCUCCUAGCUUGAUACUGAUCACAUCUCCAGGAACCAAAACUGCAGCGUCUUGCUCAGACCACCUUCCAUCUCUUAGAACCUGCAUUAAAAUAGACCUAACUCGUGCCGAAGCGGUAUAAGGAAAAGGAGAGUCAGAAAAUUUACCCCUCCGUUGGCCAAAGCAAUAGCCAUGAGAGCAGCAAGCUCCAUAACCCAGGAGAGGGGGUUCCACAUGAAUCCCAAGAAUUUCAGGAUCUUGUUUUCCUGUUUAAUGUAAUCAUUUAGAUUAGAUGCAUUAAUUUUAUUUAUUGUCCAAUAUAUUUAUAUAUAUAUAUACACUGCAAGAAAGAAAGAAAGAAAACUGUGCUUAUUGAUUGAUUGAAUAGUGAAAAGCCUGCCUUUUUCUCUUCCAGCU